rnacentral:lncRNA from 1 species
CUCAGCCUGGAGUUCCUGGAAUUCUGCUUUGUGGGUGAGCUUCCCGUGGCAGCCAAGGGCCCUUCUGAUGAACAGGACAUGAGAAUGGGAGGCCUCCCCUCCGCACUUCGUGCCACUCUGCUGAAGCCGACUCCGCGGUUCCUCCCAGCUCCAGCCUCCCGCUGGCCUCCUCCACGGCCCUCUGCAUCUGAAGAUGCACCGCAUCCGGGUGCGAGUCUCCAAAUCGAGUCCAUCGGCACAGUGGGUUGUAAGCUCCCUGAAGGCUGAGACUAACCCUGCUCUGCUCACCACACUAUGCCCAGCUCAGCCAGCCCACAAGAGGAACCCAAGAAAUAUUUGCUGAACCCAUUAUUGUAUGGAUUAAUAUUGUAAUGUAAUAAAAUAAUGGAUUCCAC